UACGUAGGGUGCAAGCGUUGUCCGGAAUUAUUGGGCGUAAAGAGCUCGUAGGCGGUUCGUCGCGUCGGCUGUGAAAUCCCGAGGCUCAACCUCGGGUCUGCAGUCGAUACGGGCGGACUGGAGUUCGGCAGGGGAGACUGGAAUUCCUGGUGUAGCGGUGAAAUGCGCAGAUAUCAGGAGGAACACCGGUGGCGAAGGCGGCUCACUGGUCCGGUACUGACGCUGAGGUGCGAAAGCGUGGGGAGCAAACAGG
rnacentral:rRNA from 1 species